rnacentral:rRNA from 1 species
GACGAACGCUGGCGGCGUGCUUAACACAUGCAAGUCUAACGGAAAGGCCCUGCUUUUGUGGGGUGCUCGAGUGGCGAACGGGUGAGUAACACGUGAGUAACCUGCCCUUGACUUUGGGAUAACUUCAGGAAACUGGGGCUAAUACCGGAUAGGAGCUCCUGCUGCAUGGUGGGGGUUGGAAAGUUUCGGCGGUUGGGGAUGGACUCGCGGCUUAUCAGCUUGUUGGUGGGGUAGUGGCUUACCAAGGCUUUGACGGGUAGCCGGCCUGAGAGGGUGACCGGCCACAUUGGGACUGAGAUACGGCCCAGACUCCUACGGGAGGCAGCAGUGGGGAAUAUUGCACAAUGGGCGGAAGCCUGAUGCAGCAACGCCGCGUGCGGGAUGACGGCCUUCGGGUUGUAAACCGCUUUCGCCUGUGACGAAGCGUGAGUGACGGUAAUGGGUAAAGAAGCACCGGCUAACUACGUGCCAGCAGCCGCGGUGAUACGUAGGGUGCGAGCGUUGUCCGGAUUUAUUGGGCGUAAAGGGCUCGUAGGUGGUUGAUCGCGUCGGAAGUGUAAUCUUGGGGCUUAACCCUGAGCGUGCUUUCGAUACGGGUUGACUUGAGGAAGGUAGGGGAGAAUGGAAUUCCUGGUGGAGCGGUGGAAUGCGCAGAUAUCAGGAGGAACACCAGUGGCGAAGGCGGUUCUCUGGGCCUUUCCUGACGCUGAGGAGCGAAAGCGUGGGGAGCGAACAGGCUUAGAUACCCUGGUAGUCCACGCUGUAAACGGUGGGUACUAGGUGUGGGGUCCAUUCCACGGGUUCCGUGCCGUAGCUAACGCUUUAAGUACCCCGCCUGGGGAGUACGGCCGCAAGGCUAAAACUCAAAGGAAUUGACGGGGCCCCGCACAAGCGGCGGAGCAUGCGGAUUAAUUCGAUGCAACGCGUAGAACCUUACCUGGGUUUGACAUGGAUCGGGAGUGCUCAGAGAUGGGUGUGCCUCUUUUGGGGUCGGUUCACAGGUGGUGCAUGGCUGUCGUCAGCUCGUGUCGUGAGAUGUUGGGUUAAGUCCCGCAACGAGCGCAACCCUUGUUCACUGUUGCCAGCACGUUAUGGUGGGGACUCAGUGGAGACCGCCGGGGUCAACUCGGAGGAAGGUGGGGAUGACGUCAAGUCAUCAUGCCCCUUAUGUCCAGGGCUUCACGCAUGCUACAAUGGCUGGUACAGAGAGUGGCGAGCCUGUGAGGGUGAGCGAAUCUCGGAAAGUCGGUCUCAGUUCGGAUUGGGGUCUGCAACUCGACCUCAUGAAGUCGGAGUCGCUAGUAAUCGCAGAUCAGCAACGCUGCGGUGAAUACGUUCCCGGG